GGGAAGGAAACGCACAAACGGGAGAGUGAGAGAGAGAGAGAGGAAGAAGAAAGGAGAAAGAGAGGGAGUUAGGCUCGGAUCUAGGAGUCUUUGCGACCGUUGCGAGCUCGGCUACACGAUAGAAAAUUGUUGGUGGAACUUAUUGAGAAGUAAGGAACAAGCCGAGUCCUAUUUUGUACAAGGGGAACCCUUUUAGUACCAAAAGGUUGAGUCCAGGCGAAGGAUUCAGUGGUAGACGGGGAAAGGAGCAAAGCUAAGGGUUUGCUUGUGAUUUUGAAGUGAAGGCAUGGUGGAUCAGCAUUUAGAACUACAAGGAAGUAUUGGCCAUAAUAUAAAAAGGAAGAUGUCGCACCCGAAAAAAUGCGACGCGGACGGCGCGCGAGCGAAAGUCCCGGCCUUCACGGCGGGAACCGGAUCGAACGAGGAGUCGCCACCAAGAUUUUGAGGUAAAUCUCAGAAAACCGCUUAAAUGGAGGAUAAGGAUGAUCUGCAUAAUCAGAGAAUAGGUUUGGGAGUCGGUUGAGUGUGGGGAAGGUGUUAGGCACCCCACAACACCCGUUCGUUAAAACAGUUACCUGAAGUUUGUUGUGCCCUAUUAAUAUGGUUUUAUAAUUAUUUUAACUAUCCCUUUUA